rnacentral:rRNA from 1 species
UGAGUACGAGAUGCUACGGCAUCGAAGCAGUCUAUGUCAUACUUCCAAGAAAAGCUUGCACUGUCAGAAACAGAUAAUGCCUGUACCAUAACCGACACAGGUGGGUAGGUAGAGUAUACUAAGGGGCGCGAGAUAACUCUCUCUAAGGAACUCGGCAAAAUGACUCCGUAACUUCGGGAGAAGGAGUGCCUUAUUUUUAAGGUUGCAAUAACAAGAUCCAAGCAACUGUUUACCAAAAACACAGGUCUCCGCUAAGUCGUAAGACGAUGUACGGGGGCUGACGCCUGCCCAGUGCCAGAAGGUUAAAGAAGUCGGUUAGCAUUCGCGAAGCUGGUAACUGAAGCCCUGGUGAACGGCGGCCGUAACUAUAACGGUCCUAAGGUAGCGAAAUUCCUUGUCGGGUAAGUUCCGACCCGCACGAAAGGCGUAAUGAUUUGGAUACUGUCUCGGAGAGGGGCUCGGUGAAAUAGACUUGUCUGUGAAGAUGCGGAUUACCUGCACCUGGACAGAAAGACCCUAUGAAGCUUUACUGUAACUUGAAAUUGAAAUUGGACUUUAUUUGCGCAGUAUAGGUGGGAGGCGUUGAAAAUAUUCUUGCGGGAAUAUUGGAGCCAUCAGUGAGAUACCACUCUUGUAAUGUUAGAUUUCUAACUUUAUAUCAUUAUCUGGUUAAAGAACAGUUUCAGGCGGGCAGUUUGACUGGGGCGGUCGCCUCCCAAAUGGUAACGGAGGCGCACAAAGGUUUCCUCUGAACGGGUAGAAAUCGUAUCUAGAGUGUAAAGGCAUAAGGAAGCUUGACUGUGAGACCUACAAGUCGAGCAGGGACGAAAGUCGGUCUUAGUGAUCUGACGGUGCUGAGUGGAAAGGCCGUCACUCAACGGAUAAAAGUUACUCUAAGGAUAACAGGCUGAUCUCCCCCAAGAGUUCACAUCGACGGGGAGGUUUGGCACCUCGAUGUCGGCUCAUCGCAUCCUGGGGCGGUAGUACGUCCCAAGGGUUGGGCUGUUCGCCCAUGAAAGCGGUACGCGAGCUGGGUUCAGAACGUCGUGAGACAGUUCGGUCCAUAUCCGGUGUAGGCGUUAGAAUAUUGAGAGGAGCCUUCUUUAGUACGAGAGGACCGAGAAGGACAUACCUCUGGUGUACCAGUUAUCGUGCCAACGGUAAACGCUGGGUAGCUAUGUAUGGAGUGGAUAACCGCUGAAAGCAUCUAAGUGGGAAGCCCACCUCAAGAUAAG